rnacentral:tRNA from 2 species
UAGCUCAGUGGUAGAGCUAUCGGCUGUUAACCGAUCGGUCGUAGGUUCGAGUCCUA